CUACGGGCUGCUGCAGUGAGGAAUUUUGCGCAAUGGGGGCAACCCUGACGCAGCAACGCCGCGUGAGUGAAGAAGGCCUUUGGGUCGUAAAGCUCUGUCAACAGGGAAGAAGUUACUUCAUAUUAAUAGUAUGUAGUAUUGACGGUACCUGUGGAGGAAGCAUCGGCUAACUCCGUGCCAGCAGCCGCGGUAAUACGGGGGAUGCAAGCGUUAUUCGGAAUCAUGGGGCGUAAAGGGCACGCAGGCGGCUCUGUCAGUCAGAUGUGAAAGCCCGGGGCUCAACCCCGGACGUGCAUUUGAAACAGCAGAGCUUGAGUACGGUAGAGGAAAGCGGAAUUCCUGGUGUAGAGGUGAAAUUCGUAGAUAUCAGGAGGAACACCGGUGGCGAAGGCGGCUUUCUGGACCGAAACUGACGCUGAGGUGCGAAGGCGUGGGUAGCGAACAGGAUUAGAUACCCCAGUAGUC
rnacentral:rRNA from 1 species